rnacentral:rRNA from 1 species
GACGGAGGGUGCAAACGUUACUCGGAAUCACUGGGCAUAAAGCGCACGUAGGCGGUUCUCUAAGUCGGAUGUGAAAGCCCACGGCUCAACCGUGGAACUGCAUCCGAUACUGGAGAACUAGAGGAUGGUUGGGGUGAGUGGAACUUCAGGUGGAGCGGUGAAAUGCGUAGAUAUCUGAAGGAACACCGGUGGCGAAAGCG